AUUUCGGGGUGUCCCUCACCCUAAUACCCUCGACAAUACGCCACCGCCGCAUCUGUUGCUCCUCUCCUCAAAGCUGAAAGUUCAGUCAGCGAAGUGCUAGCGUGUCUCUGCAGAGAUGGGGAAGGCUUGGCCCUCUGCAGGCCCCCCCGUCACACAGACACACAGAAAGUCACUAUCACACUGCUAGCAAUUGCCCGAAACAGGUGUAGAUACUCGUCCAUUGAUGAAACAUGGAUCCAGCUGGAAGGCCGAGUGCUGCGUGGCUUCCCUGAAGUGGAGCGACACCGGGUCAGUGGAGAGCCGUGACGUCAGUCUGUGUCAUUUCAGCACAGCCUGUGGAUGAAGGGCCAUUUCACAGGCAUUAUGGAUUAAUCUUCAGGAUCAAACACAAUCGGAUGUUAACCUCACAUGUCCUAGAUCUGAGAGGUCUCUUAUGAUAAACUAGGAUGAAGAGAAUUGAAUCCGAAUGUAUUAGAACUGAUGAAAAUAUAGUGUUUGUAUAUACACAUCUGUCUCUGCCCAGUCCAUGAUCAACUUUAACUUUAAUAAAAUGCAUUUGAACAUAC